AUUGAACGCUGGCGGCAUGCCUUACACAUGCAAGUCGAACGGUAACGCGGGGCAACCUGGCGACGAGUGGCGAACGGGUGAGUAAUGCAUCGGAACGUGCCCGGUAGUGGGGGAUAACUGCUCGAAAGAGCAGCUAAUACCGCAUACGACCUGAGGGUGAAAGGGGGGGAUCGCAAGACCUCUCGCUAUCGGAGCGGCCGAUGUCGGAUUAGCUAGUUGGUGGGGUAAAGGCCUACCAAGGCGACGAUCCGUAGCUGGUCUGAGAGGACGACCAGCCACACUGGGACUGAGACACGGCCCAGACUCCUACGGGAGGCAGCAGUGGGGAAUUUUGGACAAUGGACGCAAGUCUGAUCCAGCCAUGCCGCGUGCGGGAAGAAGGCCUUCGGGUUGUAAACCGCUUUUGUCAGGGAAGAAAUCUUCUGAGUUAAUACCUCGGGAGGAUGACGGUACCUGAAGAAUAAGCACCGGCUAACUACGUGCCAGCCGCCGCCGUAA
rnacentral:rRNA from 1 species